ensembl:snRNA U6 U6 spliceosomal RNA
GUGCUUGCUUUGGCAGCACAUAUACUAAAAUUGGAACGAUACAGAGAAGAUUAGCAUGGCCCCUGCACAAGGAUGACACGCAGAUUCGUGAAGCGUUCCAUAUUUUU